AAAUAUUUAGCAAAGAGCGACAGCCACUGAGGAAAGAAGACUUGUAAGGAGUCAGCUGAGAAGCGGAGGAUACACAGAGGGACCACUGUUGGAGACAUAGCUGGAGACACACCCUGGGAAGGAGAUGCUCUGUGACAAUGGAGGGACUUCUGAGAGACUGUGGUUGUGGGACACCCGCUCCAACAGGUCAAGAGGGGUAUACAAUGAACUCUUGCUUAACAAGCAAGGUAUAAACAAGUGGGAUUCUGCUGAGGCUGGAGCCGCUACCUGCCGCAAAAUUUCUUGUGGACAAUCUAUGUGUUUUCUCUUUUUAUUUUGGAGUUGUUUAGCCUGAAAGUUUCAUCCAUUUAUAAAGUACAGCUUUUGCUCUUAUUCCUUCACAAGCUGCCAGCUGCACUUAAGGAGAAAAAGUGUCUGGACAAUGAAAGUACUCAAAGAAAGAAAAAAAGAAAAAAAAAAAAAGGCAAAAAUGUCAAAAGGGCUUCCUGAGUGACCUGGGAACAAAAUGGAAGAAGAAAGACAGUAAAGGUUUCUGUUGGGGACAGGACACUGCACUAUGUGGAUCUUUGAUGUGGCCCAGGGUGGCAGUGCUGUGUGUGUCAUGGCGGGAGGAGCGCCGCACCAGGGCAGAUGGGACACAACUGAAUUCCAUGGAAGCAUAGUAUCCACCACUGCUUCCUUUUGAAGAAGUGUUGGUCUCCUGUCAUAUAUAAAGCAUGAGACUGCAUGAAACUGCAAAAGAAUUCAGAUUACGAACUGUCUCAUUAAGUUUUUCCAAAUCCUUGCAUUACGUUUUCAAUUUAUUUUUCAAUUUUAUUAAAUGCUUAAAUACUGGGAAAGUUUUCCUAAAGAAGUCACUAAGCAGUAACUUGUUGUUUUCACCUGUUUCGGGCCUAGUUCAUCCUGCUGAAGCCACAUCUGUGGGAACAAGUGGCAUUUCAGCUUGCACCUUUAUGCACUUUUUCAAUAACUUGAAUUUUGUAACGAUGUUAACCCUAGGGAUAUCAAAACAGCUAUAAGAGAUACACAAUAAAAAUAUAAUUCCUCCUUCUGUUAUUAUUUCUGCUUAUGCUGUAGUUUAAAGACUCAUUUGUGGUACAGCCGCCAUGGACUCUAUUGCCUUUACAUCUGGGAAAAAUAUUUUUGAUCAGUAAGCUCUGCUGUGUUUACCAACAGGUACAGACAACAACAUUAUCUGUAAUGGUAGCCAUUUUCUGACAAGAAUGGUGAAAUUAAGAGCUGGCAAGAAGCUCCAUAUGGUUUAGUUUUUCUUUUUAUUAUUUAUUUAUUGUUUUUCCUCUUUGUCUGUUUCUCUUCCCCCUCUCCAAACACUUUUAAGAUAUAUUUCCUGGUACACUUAUUUGACUAGUUUGUUUAAAAACAUAACUUUGUGUACUAUAAAACAUCUUUCAGAUUAGUUGCUUUGCUUCCAGAAAAUAAGAUGGUAAAAUGCAGCAAAGCAUGCCUUAAGUCUCUAACCAAUCCAGAUUAAUAGCGAGGGCUUAGUGUAUGGCACACUACCCAUUGCCCUAUGUGAGAAAGAGGAGAGAUUUUCAUGUCUCUAAACUUUGCUGAAGACUUCCCCUGGAUGGCAGCCAUCUUUCAUCUGUUAUUACCUAAUUUUAAUCUGCUACUAGUUUUUCCUUUCAGAGAUGAAGCUGGCUGACAAAAUAAUGCAGUUCUCUCCAUUUUUAUUUCAGUGGAGAAAUAAGCACAUCCCAAUGAGCUGGCUAAAACACUUCCCAUUAAUACGUGUUUGAAAUAACUCAAAGAAUUUGAGCUGGAUUGUUCAUUGAUAAUAGUUCUCUAUGACCUGUAGCUGAAAACAUUCUUAUCUCAGUUUUCACUUUAAUUACAGAAUUAGCUUUCCCCUCACAGUGUAGCCAAAGGUAAGCCUAUCUUUUAAGAACUUCAAAAGGAACUUUAACCUAUUCUGAGUAUUUUUAGCUCUUCUGCUUCUCUUGCAAUUUAACUAAAUAAUAAUUAGCUACAUUUUUUCAGUCUUUCUAAAAACUAAAACAGUGCUUAAGAAAAUAUUUAAUCCUAAAUAUAUUUUAACUGCUCUUAAAUCCAAGAUGUAUUUCACUAUUCAGUAGCCAUAAAUUCAGAUCUAAAUACAGAAGUCAGAAGAUGGCUUAACUGAGGUUUCCAGCCAGAAAACAGCUAUUUAUAUUUGUGUCUUUACAUACUAUAGCUACUGUUUGCUGCAAGUUAUUCUCUACAACUUCAGAGGAUAUAAAGGUUUUUUUUUUCCAAGAGCAUAAAGCUCUAUGACAAGUUAUAAUAGCCUCAUGACCAAGUAGAAACAAGUCAUUUAUACUGAGAGAUCCUCUGAUUUACAGAAUUUUGGAAAUUAAUAAAUAAACACAAACUUCCAAGCCCCUUAAAAUGAAAAUAAAGCAAUAUAUUAUGUACUUUUCCAACUUUAAUUUAUGCUUAAUUAUAUGAAGUUGUUUUGUGUUUAUUACUGUUUAUAACAUAUCCAUAUAAGCUCAAUUUAUAAUGUGUAUUUUGUUCUGGUAGUUAAUAUAAACCUUAGGUGUGAUGAAGAAAAUAUAAUACAAUUAAAAUUCAGACCACUAAAAUCUAUGUAAAACCUAUAUAAAUAUUAAGAUAAAUAUUUUGCAAAUUCAAUCUUCUCUACCAAUUCAGUAGGAAGUUAAAACUGUCCAUUUCACAGAAUCAUAGAAUGGUUUGGGUUGGAAGGGACCUUUAAGAUCAUUUUGUUCCAACCUCCCUGCAGGGAUACCUUCCUCUAGACCAGGUUGCUCAAAGCCUCAUCCAGCCCGGCCUUGAAAGCUUCCACAGCUGGCCUUCUGGGCUGCAAGCACAGAUUGCUGGAUCAUACUGAAUCUCUCAUCAACUGAUACUCCUAAAUCCUUCUUCUCAGGGCUGCUCUCAAGCCAUUCUCUACCCAGCCUAUAUAUGUGCUUGGGAUUGCUCCAACCCAGGUGCAGGACCUUGUACUUGGCUUUAUUCAACUUCAUGAGGCUGGCAUGAGCCCACCUCUCAAGCCUGUCCAGGUCCCUCUGUAAAAGCAUUUGUAAAAGUGUUUGUAAAAUAUCCAACUGUACUUUAGAAAAGAUAUGUAUGAAAUAUAAACUUUAUUAUAUGUACAGCCACAGACAUGCAUCUUUAAAAUUUACAUAGUUUCAUUGAAAUCUCCAUAACAUUAAGUAGUGGAGAAAUGACGCCCUUGAAAUCCUUUACAAUUAGCCUAAAAUUAAUAUGUAAAUGUCACCAAUUAGAUUAAUCUAAACCAACUGCUGUUCCAUUUCAAAAACAGAUGUUUGUAUAAUAAAAGAUAAGGAAGUGUAAAUCCUAAAAAUUUAGUGGAAGACAAAUAUAGUGUUGAAGUUAAACUGUAUUUCACAAAGAAUAGAUAGUUAAAUGAAAGAGUUUUAAUUAGGUAUGAAAGGCCAGAGAAAGAGAGGGCAGACUGACAAGUCAAACUUGCUUUUUAUGAGGCAGUUGGUCAUGUACCUUUAGCUGUGUCCACAUUCUCUUUCAAAUGAAUCCCUGAUGGUAAGAGGAAAGAUCACUUGAUUGUAUGUAUUUCCUGCUUGUCUGAUUAAAGGAAAGAUAUUGCCAUAAAUAUUCUUUUUUAAACCCAGAGAGCCUAUUUCCUUUGUCAUUUGUUUCUUCCUCUGUAGUUGCAUGGUUGGUCUUGAGGAAGAUGAAAAUCCUGCUGGCUUUUGUGUCAUCUCUUUCUUCUUUCUAGUUGCUAAUACUUUAUCUUGCUUCUGAAGAUUAGAUAAUUUUGCAAUCAUUGGAAUUUUACAAAUCUAGUCAGUUUGUUUACUCCCACUGGGUAUUUUUUAGCUUAUCUCUUUCAAGAAAGGUCUUUUUUUCACCAAGAUCAAGUGAAAGAGACAGUAAAGAAGAAUCCGUAACACUGAGUGCUCAAUUCCUUGAUUUGAGCUAAGCAUCUCAGGAACCAUAGAGUUUUCACUAUCAAUUUUAAGUUCAUUUAGCUUCAUUUCUUUUUCAGUUAUUUAAUUAUAUUAAAUGUAAAUAUUGUGAUUAUGUUUUUCUUAAGGGCUGUAAAUCUUUUUCCACAGCAGCAUUUUGAUACUUAAGCACUCCCUCACUAUAAAGUGUGUACUAUUUAUAUUCAAGAGCAGAUUUUUUUUGAAUAGUCAGAUAAGCAUGCAUACAACAGAGAAUUCUGAGCAUAACAAAUAGCUUAAAAACUCUUUAUUGCUACUCACCUUCAGUGAUGGUAGUAUGAAAUCAAGAUCUGCUUUUUAUCUCUAUCUUCAGACUUUUUUCAAAUAUUUGGAUUUAUAUAAAGUAUACAUUUUUACAGUAAAAUUGAGACCUAUAAUCUACUGAUUUUAUAGCAAUGCCUUUUUUGAAAAUGACUUUCUUAUAUCAUUUUAAUUCAAAAUAUGUUGGUUUCUAGAAAGCCUAAAAAUGCAAAGACUUUGCCACUCCGCUAUUUUCAUGGUACCUUCCAUCCCAUUAUAACAUUACAGGUAUGAAAGUCAUAACACAGUGGAUUUCACCCAUUUCUUUUAGUUGUAGUAAUAUUUCAGAAUACAGUAGUAUUUAUUAAUUAAUAGAAUAAAUCAUACUUAAACUAGUGGAUCAUUUGAGUUAUUCCUCUCAUGAAAAGAUCAUGAACUCCUGAAGUUAAAUUCUUAGAGCAAUUAAAAAAAUGAGUUUUGAUCAAGUUCUGUUUUUCUGCAGAAGAGAUAAAACAAAGAUAAUGUCUAAGUGGUUGCUCAUUCCGAGAUCUUGCCAUACUAUAACUUCUUCCUCCUUUUUGAUUCUGAAUUCCUGACCAAUUCCAACAGAUGGAAUUUGAAGUAUCUGUUGAUAAAUAUACUCUAAUUAACUUUGGUUUCAGAGAAAGUGUCUGAUGGAAUUAACAAUUCAUAUUUUUUUUAUGAAAAAUAGACUGUGUUUUACAGAUUCUGUAAGAGAGACAAACUAAUUUCUCAUCUUCAGUAACAUCAUUCUCCAUUCUCUCUUUUUUAAGGGAAAACACAUAGAAUCCACACAACUGACCUUAUUCUGCUUCAGAUCAGUGGUUACUAUCACAUAUAAUUGCUUUAAGUAGAAGAGUUCCACAGAGGAUGCCAAUCAAGUGCUGCAAAGAGCGUGAAACAUGGGGUUUUGAUAUUUCUCUAAACGGUUUCAGAAUUUUAUGAGUGUAAUAUAUGAAUAGAAAAUGGCAAAGAAAAAACUGUUCUCAGCCUACUAUGAAAUCUAUGUUAUAGUGUCCUUGCUAUUUAGUCUGGAAUUUUAUAGGAAAAAUGAAUUCUUUAUGGCAUCCAUUUUCAAAGAGCAUUUUAAAUGUUCAUUAGUAGAUGUAAAAAAUCAUAUAUUAAACAUGACUUACAAUUUAUUCUUUUUUGAUGUCUGUAGGAAAGAAACAAAAAUGAAAUACAAAGCUUUCAUCUGAAUGAUAUAUUGUCAUAACAUCUUAGUGUCUGCAAUACACUUUGAAUGUUAUGAAGACUGAAUGCUAUGAGUCUUAACAGUUGUUUUGAAAAAUAUGUGUAAUAUAUAAUUAAGAAAUUGAAUUUUUUUAAAAUCAACAUAUUGGCUUGAUAUUCAUGUAUGACUCAGAUGUUCAGAAACACUACUAGAUAUAACUGAAUUCUAUCCUUUUUAAUGGUUCAUUGGCCAUUACUCUGACUUGAUUAUGAGUCUAAUUUACAUGUAAGCGCUUAUUACGUACCUCUUCGGAAGAUUCUGCUUUAUACCUUAUUCAAAUUAUUGUCAGACUGAACAAGCAUUAUAAUUCUAUUACAAAUUAGAUUUCUACUUAUUUUCUUCAUUUGUUUAUGUUCUUUUUUUAGAUUGGCGUCGAUAUUAUUAGCUACAGCAGUAAGUUGUUUACAAAACUGCAUUAAAGCAGGGCUGAAAAGGUAGAGUUUUUAGUCUUUUUGUUCGGCUGGACAUCUGGUGUCCAUUAACAACCAAACAUUGUGAUGGGUUAUUCAUCUGUGCUGAUAUUGCACAAAGGAUUUUGCCACCUGUUCAAUUUUUAUUCACUGCUUUUAAAAAUAUUUAGAGGGAGAGAGGUUUUAUACUUUUGCAUUAAAUGUGAAGGACAUAUGCACAUUUUGAUAUUUUCAGCAGGCAGAGCUUACAGAAUAUACUAAAUCCCACAGUUUUGAAUCUCAUGAAGUUUUCUUCUUUAAUUAAGACUUGCAAUUAUUUGGAACUGAAUGUUGGUUUGAAGACCUUGAAUACCACGUUGAAUAAAUCUCUGUCACAGAAAGUAGAGCUGAUUUCCCCCCCCCCCCAGUAUUUGAAAACCUGUAUUUUUAGAAUCAGAGAGAUCCCCCACUCUGACCCUACUACUGAUUACCUACGAGGUGGCACUGAUUAUUCCUAACUAGUAUGAGAUCACAAUUAGUGAUAAACUGAAGAUAGGGAACAGAUGAAAACAUAUCAGCAAACUUUAAGGAACUGUGGUCAGGGAGAUAAUCUCUUCUAUACUGCAUGUAUAAAAAGUAGAACAAGAGGAAGACCUCUGAACUGUGUUUCAGAAAUUCAUGAUAGAAACUUAAUCCAUGUAGCUGAAGUAAAGAGAAGUCACAAAUUUCAGAGAUUCAGUGAAAUUGAGAAUUGCAUCUAAGAUAUUACUAGAAUUUCUCGAAUAGUUAGUAGAGUUAAGAGUUAAUAUUUCAUUGCUUCUAGAAGAAAACAUACCUGACUUGGUUUAGGUUUCUAAAUAAAAGGGUUAAUCAUAUAGACAAAAAUAGUCCUCCGUGAUUCACGUUAAUCAAGAAUGUAGUGGAAAUGCUAAAUCAUGGCUUGAACCAGUGAUUAAGCACCUGGUGGGAAGGUAGGGCCAACCCAGGGGAGCUCAGGUGCACCUGAGUAACUGAAAGGAGUGGAUCUAGAAUCCACCCCGUCCCUACCUCAUUUAAGGGUUGGUAGGGGGAGGUAAGGGUACCUCUUGCUGGAGAUCCCUGUAUACCUGUGGCCUUCAAAGGGUAAAAAUCAUGAUUUCCUGUUUAUUAAAUGUGGAAGACAGCUGUAUUGUUGUUCCAAAAAUUCUUUAAGGAUCCUCAGCAACCAAAGAAUGAGAUAGCGAUGAGACUACAAGGCAAGUUGUCGUCUUCAUCAUUUUAUUUCUCUCAGAAAAAUGAUACAGCAAGCUCUUGCAAUGCAGAGGGAUGACUGGCCAGGAAUGAACUGUAAGAAAUCUGCUUGAUAAUGUGAGUUAAAAGCAACUUGAAGCCAGGAUUCUGACGCAUUUGGAGUGCAAAUUAUGAAAGACUUCUGAGAGUAGAUAAUGCACAUCUGCAGAUUAAAGCAGUUCUCAGAGGAAUUGUGAGUUAAAGGAUACAUAUAGAUAAAAUUUUAAAAUCUCCACAGUGUAUUUCAAAUGAAAUUUGAAUUGCUUUCAAACUUCUAAGAUUCUUCUUUUGUUUCACUUUCUAGAAGUCUAGUUAUCUCUCAUGCUAAAUUGCCCAUUUUUCCUUCAAGAUAUAAUAGUAUUAGUAAUUAGACUUUUUCUUCAGGUGAAAUAAUGUUUGAAUUUGCAUUGCCUGAAAGAGAUUAAUGACUUUUGAUCUCAUUGAAUCACUCUAACUACAAUAUGGUCAAGUGUUUAUGCUAUUAGUUUUGCUGGUCUUGCUUUCCACACUAAUCUAACAACAAACAGGAAACUUGCAGUAAAAUACUGAAAUGAGGUAUUACCAUUUCUGUAACAAAAAGGAAGUUUUUGGUAUUGACUGACCAAAAUACUUAAAAGAGUUUUGUUAGAUUGUUGUAGAAUAAAUUGAUUUUAUAAAACUACUUACAAUAAACUGAGGAGCAAAAAUAACUGACAUUUUUACAUGAGUUUGAUUUUUUUUUUUGUAAUAUUACUAAUACAAAUAUUUAAUAACUUAUUAGAAUACAGUGCCUUAGUAUCUUACAGAAUGUGCAAAACCUUUUGUUCUACAAGAGUGUUUUUAGACGAGUAAUAAGUACCUUUCUCAAGAGACAUUUAAACGAAGUCUACUCUUUGAAAGAAACUUACGAAAUGUCAUAAUACUUAUGAAGUAGAUUUUUUUUGGUAGUGGAGGAAUUGCUAUUCUAACAUCUGAAAGAAACUGGUAAUAAAGUUGAGUGAAUCGUAGAAUGGCUUGGGUUGGAAGGGACUUCGAGUAUCAUCAAGUUCUAACUCUCCUACCACAGGCAGGGUUCCCAACUGCUAGAUCAACUACGAGAUCAGGCUGUCCAGGGCCCCACGCAACCUGGCCUUAAACACCACCAGGGCUGAGGCAUCUCUAGACAGCCUGUUCCAGCACCUUGCCGCUCUCAUAAACCUCUCCCUGAUGUGUAAAUCUUCCCUCCUUUAACCUAUAGGGUUAAGAAAUUUGCUGAUGUUUCUCUGAGGUUAUCAGUCAUCAUCAGACUGCAGUACAUAGGCAAUAUCCUAUAUAAAAAUUGCACACACUGGAAAGACCCAUAUGCUCUCAUAUUCUAGCUUCAUCUAUAUGGAUAGAUUAAAGCAAAGAGUGCAAGAAUUACCUUGUAAUAAUUAUAUGAAAUACAGACUUUCCUAAUUUUUUUUUUUUUUACAGCUGCACUGAUGUACUGUCAACAAAAACAAAAACCCCAAAGCAAAGGCUUUGGAACAUUUUUAUCAGUUUACUAUAUAUGAUGUACUAAGUAAUAUGAUACGAAGCAUAAAAAUGUCCAUAGAACUACAGAGGACAAAAUAUACUGGGGGAUCUGCUUCUGUUUCAUACGUUAGUUCUACAGUGAAAGAAUAAGCAUAUCCCACAGGGAAAAUAUAUUUCUUAUCAUGAAUGACAAAUAUAAAUAUUUGACCUAUAAGUUUUAUCUUGAUAAGAAUGCUGUUCAUGCUGACUGCUUACCCUUUUUGGGAUAGUGUGGAGAUCAUAUUAUUGGAUGAGAUCACUAGAGUAGUGCUGGCUUAGGCUGGUGGAAAGAUCAUUGGCACAAUCAUGUACUACACUGACUGUCAUUAUUAAUCAUCUUUGAGUUCUACGUUACCUUUUUUCUACUGUGAAGAAUGCAAUGAAAAUCUCAGAUGGCUGAAAGCAAUGUGUAGAAUAAUAGCACUAAUGUGAAAAAUGAGUCUGCUGCACUGCAGAUUUAAGCAGAGAAGAUGAAAAAGGAGCUAUGGACUUCAGAUUCUAAAUACUUUCAAGCCACAAGUUUCAGAAAUAAAGAAAUUAUUGUCCUACAGCCUUCUUCUUUUCCCCAAUUUUUUUUUAAUCAGUUUUUUUCUCCUCAUUCCUAUAUUCUCAUUACUCAGCUCAGUGUUAUUUUCACACUAUUUGGUUUCUGCUCAACCUCCUUAAGCUCUUUCAGGUUAGCAUGUAUUCUCUAUAUGUAACAUCUCACUACAAGCCUUCAUCUAUUUUUACAUGCAAUUGCAUUAUGUUGCUUUGAAUAAAAAAAAGUAGACAUUGAAGUGAUGAUUCCCUUCAUGUCCGUACUCCAUCAGCAUGACCCUGUGUGAGAUGUUGUUUAGUUCUGCAAAUAUGGAAUAUGGAGUGUAUCUCCUGCCUCAGAAGACACUGAAAUUGUGUAUAUACGAGCCUGACCUCGGUGCCGGGGAAGGUUAUGGAACAGUUUGUCCUGAGGGAGAUCACGUGGCAUUUGCAGGACAACCAGGGGAUCAGGCCCAGCCAGCAUGG